AGAUCACUUCCGCUAGUCGCUCAUUUCUUAGAAUGGGGCCACUCGAACUUCUCUUCUCUUUUUCUCUGCUGCAUUUAUGUGCGACACAAGUGACACCUGUGUUUGUGCAGACAGGAACAGAUUUUCUUCUGGAUGUGAAGGAACCUGUUGUUCUG